rnacentral:rRNA from 1 species
ACUCCUACGGGAGGCAGCAGUAGGGAAUCUUCCGCAAUGGGCGAAAGCCUGACGGAGCAACGCCGCGUGAGUGAUGAAGGGUUUCGGCUCGUAAAACUCUGUUAUUAGGGAAGAACAAAUGUGUAAGUAACUGUGCACAUCUUGACGGUACCUAAUCAGAAAGCCACGGCUAACUACGUGCCAGCAGCCGCGGUAAUACGUAGGUGGCAAGCGUUAUCCGGAAUUAUUGGGCGUAAAGCGCGCGUAGGCGGUUUCUUAAGUCUGAUGUGAAAGCCCACGGCUCAACCGUGGAGGGUCAUUGGAAACUGGGAAACUUGAGUGCAGAAGAGGAAAGUGGAAUUCCAUGUGUAGCGGUGAAAUGCGCAGAGAUAUGGAGGAACACCAGUGGCGAAGGCGACUUUCUGGUCUGUAACUGACGCUGAUGUGCGAAAGCGUGGGGAUCAAACAGGAUUAGAUACCCUGGUAGUCCACGCCGUAAACGAUGAGUGCUAAGUGUUAGGGGGUUUCCGCCCCUUAGUGCUGCAGCUAACGCAUUAAGCACUCCGCCUGGGGAGUACGACCGCAAGGUUGAAACUCAAAGGAAUUGACGG